rnacentral:lncRNA from 1 species
GUCAUGGUACAUCACAACCAUACAGCUAUUAGGUUAUUAAGUUAUCUUCUGUUAUUAUAAUCGUGAACAUUUGCCAGUGUAGGUAGUGCCAAUCAAAUAAACAAGUUUUCGUUGGUAAGGAUGCAACUACCUGAAAAUAUGUGAGGAGAAUUUCCACGUCAGUUCGGGCGAAGGCAUGAGCGCGAAACGUCAACAUUGGAUCCAAUGGACAAUAUUGCGUAACAUCGACUGCGAGGUAAUAGACUACGCGAAAUUCGCUUAGAGUGGUUUACCAGUGCUGCGGUACAACCAAGCAAGAGAUGGGAGAAUGCUCAGGCACAUACGCUGCUUUAAAUUCCCAAGAGCAGAAAAUCGUGCGUUUUACAAAGAUAUUUUAAUUUCUUAAUAAGUCAAUAUUUAUAAUCUGACUUAAACACAGCAGCACCCAUUGACGCUCUUUACGGAUCGACAAAGUAGGUUCACGAACCGUAAAUCAUUUUCACGAAUGGUACGGUUCGUACGGUCCGUAAAGCCAUUUCAUAGUUGGUACGGACUGUACGAUCCGUACGGAUCGACAAACUGUUCUGACUUGACUUAAACAAAACAGCACCAAUUGCCGCACUUGAUUAACGAUUAAGGAUUGACAAAGUACGUUCACGAUCCGUAAAUCAUUGUCACGAACCGUACGGUCGGUAAAGCCAUUUCACAGUUGGUACGGACCGUACGAAUUGUGUUCUAUAGAGCCAGGUUAAGAUACGCCGAUUCCGAUUUACGGGUACGAGUAUCGCCAUUUUGUUUAGCAAUUUUUGCUGAUGUCAGCAUUUUUACCCGUAAUUUCUACCCGUUUCCCCGCGGUAAACCAAGGUCUACACGUAAAAGACAAACAGGUACGAGUGUUUUCUGUUUACUAUAUGUGGGCCGUUUAAAUAGUAAAAAUUUUCAACAUCUUACCCAAAUAAAUAAUGCACAUAUGCUCGUCAAAGUUUUCAACAAUUUAUGGCGAACCUCAACAGCGAAAGCUACCAAUCUCUGAUUGGUUUUCAUAUCGUGUAUAUCACCCGUACCCGUAAACCGGAACCGGGGUAUCUUAACCUCUCUUAUGUUUACCAUUUUCACGAUCCGUAUACGUUCGACAGUUUUGGACAACCAUCGAAGAGGAAACAGCGGCUUGCAAUGGAUUGUGUGGAGGCAAUGUUUGGGGACUAUAGUUGCUUGAAUGCCAGGAGUUGCCUCAUGUAUAUAUUUCUGAUCAUAUAAACUAUAAUUACGCUAAGAUACAGCAGCUUUGUUUUUAUGUUUUUUUGUAAAAUAGAACACGGAAAAUUACAUUACAUAAUCAACAAUUUCGAAAAUGUAUACUAUGUUUAGGCUUACGAUUGUUUUGUAUUUAGUUAAGAUUAGAUAACGUGCAAACUUUUUCUGGAAACUAGGAUAUAUAUAUUCUUAUGCGGUUGGUAAAAUUGCCAACGGAUCACUUUUGAUAGAGACAGUGCAUGGUGGUCCUAUUGUUGAUAUGUUCCUAUGGUAUUCCCAUGGUUGCUGGUGGUCCCGUGGUUGGUGGUCCCGUGGUUGGUGGUGCUUCAUUCUCAGGUCGUGAGCGGACAUAAACUGAUACGUCUGCUUCUAAUCCGGAGGCUACGUUGGUGUAAUAUCCCUGAUAGCUGCCUACGAAGUCAGGAACAUGUAGUCCUAUCCCCAAAGCAAAUAUCGUAUCAGGGCAACCU